AGCAGCCGCGGUAAUUCCAGCUCCAAUAGCGUAUAUUAAAGUUGUUGCAGUUAAAAAGCUCGUAGUUGAAUUUCGGGGUUAGUAGGUUGGUCAUGCCUCUGGUAUGUACUGGUCUCACUGAUUCCUCCUUCCUGAUGAGCCGUAAUGCCAUUAAUUUGGUGUUGCGGGGAAUUUGGACUGUUACUUUGAAAAAAUUUAGAGUGUUUAAAGCAAGCUAACGCUUGAAUACAUUAGCAUGGAAUAAUGAAAUAGGACGUUCGAUCCUAUUUUGUUGGUUUCUAGGAUUGACGUAAUGAUUAAUAGGGAUAGUUGGGGGCAUUAGUAUUCAAUUGUCAGAGGUGAAAUUCUUGGAUUUAUUGAAGACUAACUACUGCGAAAGCAUUUGCCAAGGAUGUUUUCAUUAAUCAAGAACGAAAGUUAGGGGAUCGAAGACGAUCAGAUACCGUCGUAGUCUUAACCAUAAACUAUGCCGACUAGGGAUCGGAUGAUGUUAAUUUUUUUAAUGACUCAUUCGGCGCCU
rnacentral:rRNA from 1 species